GAGGAAGCCGGUGUGAAUCCGGCACGGUCCCGCCACUGUGAGCGCGGCAGCAGCACCGCCGCGUGAGUCAGGAACUC
rnacentral:ncRNA from 1 species